GACGAACGCUGGCGGCGUGCUUAACACAUGCAAGUCGAACGAUGAAGCUGGAGCUUGCUCUGGCGGAUUAGUGGCGAACGGGUGAGUAACACGUGAGAAAUCUGCCCUUGACUCUGGGAUAACUGCGGGAAACUGUAGCUAAUACCGGAUACGACCCUCGGCGGCAUCGCCAGGGGGUGGAAAGAAUUUCGGUCAAGGAUGGACUCGCGGCCUAUCAGCUAGUUGGUGAGGUAACGGCUCACCAAGGCGACGACGGGUAGCCGGCCUGAGAGGGUGACCGGCCACACUGGGACUGAGACACGGCCCAGACUCCUACGGGAGGCAGCAGUGGGGAAUAUUGCACAAUGGGCGCAAGCCUGAUGCAGCAACGCCGCGUGAGGGAUGACGGCCUUCGGGUUGUAAACCUCUUUUAGUAGGGAAGAAGCGAAAGUGACGGUACCUGCAGAAAAAGCACCGGCUAACUACGUGCCAGCAGCCGCGGUAA
rnacentral:rRNA from 1 species